rnacentral:rRNA from 1 species
AGUCUGGCCUGCCCAAUGAGUAUUUCAAUGGCCGCGGUAUUUUGACCGUGCAAAGGUAGCAUAAUCAUUAGUUUUUUAAUUGAAAGCUGGAAUGAAAGGUUAGAUGAAAAAAUAGCUGUCUCUAUUUAAAUUUUUUAGAAAUUUAUUUUUAAGUUAAAAAGCUUAAAUUUAAUUAGAAGACGAGAAGACCCUAUAGAGUUUUAUUAAUUUUUGUAAUAAUAUUUUUAGUAUUUAAUAUUUUUUUUAUAAAAAUUAAUUUAAUUGGGGUGAUUAAAAAAUUUAUUAAACUUUUUUUAUAUAAAUACAUUUAUUUAUGGAUAAAUGAUCCUUUAAUUAAGAUUAAAAGAUAAAAUUACCUUAGGGAUAACAGCGUAAUUUUUUUAGAGAGUUCAAAUCGAAAAAAAAGAUUGCGACCUCGAUGUUGGAUUAAAAUAAAAUCCUGGUGUAGAAGCUAGGACAUUUAGGUCUGUUCGACCUUUAAAAUUUUACAUGAUCUGAGUUUAAACCGGUGUGAGCCAGGUUGGUUUCUAUCUCUAUUUAUCUUAGAAUAUUUUAGUACGAAAGGACCAAAUAUUUGAUUUAGAAUUUAUAUUUAAGAAUAAAAUU